rnacentral:lncRNA from 1 species
GUUGGCAUUACAGUACUCAUAUAAGAGCUAGUCACUGAUUGGCUGAGAGGACACACUCUGUACACAGGAAAACCACACUUCCUGUUGUUGUUGCCAAGGUGCUGUCAUUCAGCCUGAGGAAGAGAGUCCAAAUGUUAUUAUUGAUGGUAUAGGUCUCACACUCUGCUGGUAUUGAUGGAUGGUAUAGGUCUCACUCUGCUGGUAUUGAUGGAUGGUAUAGGUCUCACUCUGCUGGUAUUGAUGGAUGGUAUAGGUCUCACUCUGCUGGUAUUGAUGGAUGGUAUAGGUCUCACACUCUGCUGGUAUUGAUGGAUGGUAUAGGUCUCACUCUGCUGGUAUUGAUGGUUGGUAUAGGUCUCACUCUGCUGGUAUUGAUGGAUGGUAUAGGUCUCACUCUGCUGGUAUUGAUGGAUGGUAUAGGUCUCUUCUUCUUCUUCUUUGGUCUCCUCUGUCCCUGACGAGGCGUUAAACAGGUCUCCUUCCUC